rnacentral:rRNA from 1 species
CUUCCCUACGGGAGGCAGCAGUGGGGGAUAUUGCACAAUGGGGGGAACCCUGAUGCAGCGACGCCGCGUGGGUGAAGGAGUAUUUCGGUAUGUAAAGCCCUAUCGGCAGGGAAGAAGCAAGACGGUACCUGACUAAGAAGCCCCGGCUAACUACGUGCCAGCAGCCGCGGUAAUACGCAUGGUGCAAGCGUUAUCCGGAUUUACUGGGUGUAGAGGGAGCGCAGGCGGCACGGUAAGCCUGAUGUGAAAGCCCGCGGCCCAACCGCGGGACUGCAUUGGGAACUACCGGGCUGGAGUGCCGGAGG